rnacentral:rRNA from 1 species
CGAAUACACNCCACCGACUAGCCGCCUGAGUGAGCUAAGCGCUAGCAUUGCAUCGACUAGGCGACGGGGCCCCUAAACAGCUACGAUCAANNCAUCGACCGGCCUAGCAUCGGGAUCACACCCGCGCGAUCACGAGGGGAACUAGCGUUGGUUCGGAAUUACUGGGCGUAAGCGGACGCAGGCGGCGAUCCAAGUCAGAAGGGAAGCCCUGGGCUCAACCCGGGAACUGCNUUUGAUACUGGGUGGCUAGAAUCACGGAAAGGGUAGGGGAAUUCCGAGUGAAAAGGUGAAAUUCGUAGAUAUUCGGAAGAACACCAGUGGCGAAGGCGCCUACCUGGCCAUCGAUUGACCCUCAUGUGCCGAAGCGUGGGAGCAAACAGGAUUAGAUACCCUGGUAGUCCACGCCGUAAACGAUGAGUGCUAGAUGUUGGGUGCAUGCACCUCAGUGUCGAAGCUUACGCGAUAAGCACCCCGCCUGGGGUGUACGGCCGCAAGGUUAAAACUCAAAGGAAUUGACGGGGAAUCGCACAAGCGGUGGAGCAUGUGGUUUAAUUCCAAGCAACGCCCAGAACCUUACCAGCCCUUGACAUGGGGACAUCGACCAGAGAGAUUUGGUCUUCAGUUCGGCUGGUCCCCGCACAGGUGCUGCAUGGCGGUCGUCAGCUCGUGUCGUGAGAUGUUGGGUUAAGUCCCGCAAGAGCGCAACCCUCAUCUUCUUGCA